CCUUAGCAGAGCUGUGGAGUGUGACAAUGGUGUUUGUGUCCAAAUAUCAAACGCCAUUAUCACACUAAAUAGCUACUGUUAGGC
ensembl:miRNA MIR122 microRNA 122